GUAGUGAUGCCGAUCUUCUAU
rnacentral:siRNA from 1 species